rnacentral:rRNA from 1 species
AACGAACGCUGGCGGCAGGCUUAACACAUGCAAGUCGAGCGCCCCGCAAGGGGAGCGGCAGACGGGUGAGUAACGCGUGGGAAUCUACCCAUCUCUACGGAAUAACGCAUGGAAACGUGUGCUAAUACCGUAUACGUCCUUCGGGGGAAAGAUUUAUCGGAGAUGGAUGAGCCCGCGGUGGAUUAGCUAGUUGGUGGGGUAAAGGCCUACCAAGGCGACGAUCCAUAGCUGGUCUGAGAGGAUGAUCAGCCACACUGUGACUGAGACACGGCCCAGACUCCUACGGGAGGCAGCAGUGGGGAAUAUUGGACAAUGGGCGCAAGCCUGAUCCAGCCAUGCCGCGUGAGUGAUGAAGGCCCUAGGGUUGUAAAGCUCUUUCACCGGUGAAGAUAAUGACGGUAACCGGAGAAGAAGCCCCGGCUAACUUCGUGCCAGCCGCCGCGGUAAGAC